rnacentral:lncRNA from 1 species
GGGGUACCCGCGCACCGGACCGGACGCCGGGGUCUGACCUCCAGAAGGGCCCUGCCUUUGCCCUUGCCACAACCUGACUGGGGGGACCCCAUGAUUCUGCCAGAUGAAUAGGAUGGUGUCUCCUCCAGGUUUCUCUUGGUGCUCAGAGGCUGACUCCUACCUUGUCCCUGCCGGUCAUGCCCAAGAGGAAGCUGAAGGUCCGUCGCAGGGAGGAGCCUGCCCAGGUCCCGGGGUCCUCUUCCAGCUGUUUACCACUGCAGAGAGACAGGGAAGAGAUGAGGGGAGCUGGAAAAGAAACAGACCACAGGGAUGGCAGGUGUCCACGCCACGGAGAUAGGAGAAUGGAAAUAAUCCUAC